GACAUCGUGGUCUCUUCCUCUUGAAAAAAAAGUUUGAGAUGGAGUCAAACCAACAUCGCAGCUGUUUCCAAGUCGGCGGCAAGUGCACCGAAACAUUGGUCCCUCUGAACGAGCUGAGACAGAAUAACCGCUUUUGUGACGCGAUGUUGAGGUUGGAUGACGGCGGCUUCGUUCGAGUCCACAGAGAGUUUCUGUCAAUGCGCAGCGCAUAUUUCAGAAACCUCUUCACGACAAUACUGCACACCAGUGAGAAGGCUGAUGUUGUCCUCCACGGAGUCAGCUCAGACAUAAUGACCG